UUUCGAAUCAUUCACAAUGGGGGAAACCCUGAUGGUGCGACGCCGCGUGGAGGAUGAAGGUCUUCGGAUUGUAAACUCCUGUCAAGGGGGACUAACCAUACGGCUCAUACCCGUAUCUGCAUUAACCCCUAGAGGAAGCAGUGGCUAACUCCGUGCCAGCAGCCGCGGUAAUACGGAGGGUGCGAGCGUUAAUCGGAAUCACUGGGCGUAAAGCGCUCGUAGGCUGUUUGUUAAGUCAGAGGUGAAAUCCCACGGCUCAACCGUGGAACUGCCUUUGAUACUGGCAGACUAGAAUCCGGGAGAGGGUGGCGGAAUUCCAGGUGUAGGAGUGAAAUCCGUAGAUAUCUGGAGGAACAUCAGUGGCGAAGGCGGCCACCUGGACCGGUAUUGACGCUGAGGAGCGAAAGCGUGGGGAGCAAACA
rnacentral:rRNA from 1 species